CCACCUUCCAAGGCACACUUCCUCAUUCUCAUUUUCCAUUCCAAGUGCUUCUCUCUCAUCAGACGUCAAACAGCAUCAGCCAUGCGUUGCCUGACCAGUGGCACCAUUCUUCAUCAGCCACUCCUCUGCUGACACGUCGUUGCUCACGCGUCAGCCUCCUGAAUUCAUUCUCGCCUCCUUCCACAACGAAAUUCAUUACUCACAUUUUUUCACAUAUCAAAAACCUCCUCUGCUCCUCUACUAGGGUUUCCUUUCAAGCGCGUCAUCUCCAUUGUAAGUCAAACUCCACUCUCGUUUUCUUACUGCCAUUGACAUUUCUACCGAUUGAAACAUCAUCUUCCCCACUUUCUACCAGAUAAACACCUUUCCACCAUUUCCACCGAUCAAAAACCCUAUUUCACCGUUCAAAGUCCUUUUCACCUAUUGAUUUCCAUUUUCCACCGAUUGAUCCAUCCUUUGCUCCGAUUUACUACCUUUCUACCGUUUAAUCUGUGUUUUGAACCGAUUAAUCGGUUCAUUUUGCGUCUCUCCCCAUUUCUACGGUUCAACCGGUCCAGAUUAGGGUUCGUUCAUGAUUUUAGGGUUUCUUGUGUUCGUUUCUGAUAUCCUCUCGGCCUAGAGCUUUCUUUGUCAUU
rnacentral:lncRNA from 1 species